rnacentral:rRNA from 1 species
GAUGUCAACUAGGUGUUGGGUGGGUAAAACCAUUUAGUACCGGAGCUAACGCGUGAAGUUGACCGCCUGGGGAGUACGGCCGCAAGGUUAAAACUCAAAGGAAUUGACGGGGACCCGCACAAGCGGUGGAUGAUGUGGAUUAAUUCGAUGCAACGCGAAAAACCUUACCUACCCUUGACAUGUUCGGAAUCCUGAAGAGAUUUGGGAGUGCUCGAAAGAGAACCGGAACACAGGUGCUGCAUGGCUGUCGUCAGCUCGUGUCGUGAGAUGUUGGGUUAAGUCCCGCAACGAGCGCAACCCUUGUCGUUAAUUGCCAUCAUUUAGUUGGGCACUUUAACGAGACUGCCGGUGACAAACCGGAGGAAGGUGGGGAUGACGUCAAGUCCUCAUGGCCCUUAUGGGUAGGGCUUCACACGUCAUACAAUGGUCGGUACAGAGGGUUGCCAAGCCGCGAGGUGGAGCCAAUCCCAGAAAGCCGAUCGUAGUCCGGAUUGCAGGCUGCAACUCGCCUGCAUGAAGUCGGAAUCGCUAGUAAUCGCGGAUCAGCAUGUCGCGGUGAAUACGUUCCCGGGUCUUGUACACACCGCCCGUCACACCAUGGGAGCGGGUUCCGCCAGAAGUAGGUAGCCUAACCGCAAGGAGGGCGCUUACCACGGCGGGGUUC